GUCACGCUGAGUAACCGCCACUUCCAGUGUACGAAAGACUGAUGAGAGUAAAUAUUAGUUCAUUAUAGGAGCGCUGUAUCUCCGGCCACCGGUGAUGUGGAGCAGAGCAUGCUGGGCGAUCUCUAACUGAGGAGUAGGAAGUAACGAGAGAGUACACAAGCCGUGAUAAAUUCCAGCCAUCUCAUGUGAUUACCUCCAGUUAGCAUUCUUUGUUUUAGCCAAGGCCAGUGGGUGUCCUUCAGAAAUCGUCAUUAAACAACCUCGACUGGCCUAUCAUCCGUGCCCUUACAAGCACCUGUGCUACGUAAAGUCCUCAACUACAACCAGGACCUAGGGGUUCUGCCCAACACCCAGACAUGGAUCCACCUGAUGUCCUCCAUUACCAACUGUUACGCCCCUGAAAACAGGGGAGAAAUAAUCACGAGACUGAUACGGUGUUGUAUUCUCAAUUCAAUUUUUAGUUCAAUGAGAAAAGACCGCAAUUUUCCCCAGGAAUAUGGGUGGAGACCAGAGCAAUCGAUCUCCGGCUCAUAGAUUAAGAGCAUUUCGUAGAUCACAGAUGAACACUUUUAGGCACCACAAAAUAAAGUAAUCAAUAUAACGUUUACACAUUACUCUCACAAUUCGUACCUUUUGACAGAUUUUAACUUUAACACAAUUAUAUGAAUGUUAUUAAUCUCUAUCAACUAAUACUGAAUGCAUCUUUUUAACCUUAGAUGUUUUAAGAUCCUCACAUACUAUGAACUUACUAAUACUUUUUAAUGUAUAACAGGCUAUGAAUAUUUCCUUUUAACCUGUCACACAACCACCCUCCAACUUUCCAUUACAUCAGCUACUGUUAUUGUCAUUAUCUGCUAAGAAAAAGCAAGUCAACUAUCAUACUGGGCUCAUUAUGUGAGAUACACAGAUUAGCUUAAUUAAAACACUAGCACUGCAAACACUCAGAACAAAGAGGGGAGCAGUGCCUGGACUUUGCAGUCUCCUUCUUUGAGUCUACCUUCCAAGACUGACUACCUGUUGAAAACAAGUGACAGGCAGAACCUCCCAUCCACACAAUACCCACCUCCUCUCUAUUCCACACACCAGAAUUCAGUAUUUCAGUCUAUGAUUGCCAUGUGAGUGUACAAAAAAUAUAAAUGUACGAAUAAA